rnacentral:rRNA from 1 species
GCUGGCGGCAGGCCUAACACAUGCAAGUCGAGCGGUAGAGAGAAGCUUGCUUCUCUUGAGAGCGGCGGACGGGUGAGUAAAGCCUAGGAAUCUGCCUGGUAGUGGGGGAUAACGUUCGGAAACGGACGCUAAUACCGCAUACGUCCUACGGGAGAAAGCAGGGGACCUUCGGGCCUUGCGCUAUCAGAUGAGCCUAGGCCGGAUUAGCUAGUUGGUGAGGUAAUGGCUCACCAAGGCGACGAUCCGUAACUGGUCUGAGAGGAUGAUCAGUCACACUGGAACUGAGACACGGUCCAGACUCCUACGGGAGGCAGCAGUGGGGAAUAUUGGACAAUGGGCGAAAGCCUGAUCCAGCCAUGCCGCGUGUGUGAAGAAGGUCUUCGGAUUGUAAAGCACUUUAAGUUGGGAGGAAGGGCAUUAACCUAAUACGUUAGUGUUUUGACGUUACCGACAGAAUAAGCACCGGCUAACUCUGUGCCAGCAGCCGCGGUAAUACAGAGGGUGCAAGCGUUAAUCGGAAUUACUGGGCGUAAAGCGCGCGUAGGUGGUUUGUUAAGUUGGAUGUGAAAUCCCCGGGCUCAACCUGGGAACUGCAUUCAAAACUGACUGACUAGAGUGUGGUAGAGGGUGGUGGAAUUUCCUGUGUAGCGGUGAAAUGCGUAGAUAUAGGAAGGAACACCAGUGGCGAAGGCGACCACCUGGACCAACACUGACACUGAGGUGCGAAAGCGUGGGGAGCAAACAGGAUUAGAUACCCUGGUAGUCCACGCCGUAACGAUGUCAACUAGCC